AACGAACGCUGGCGGCAGGCCUAACACAUGCAAGUCGAGCGAGAUCUUCGGGUCUAGCGGCGGACGGGUGAGUAACGCGUGGGAAUAUGCCUCUUGGUACGGAAUAGCCUCGGGAAACUGGGAGUAAUACCGUAUGUGCCCUUUGGGGGAAAGAUUUAUCGCCAAGAGAUUAGCCCGCGUUGGAUUAGGUAGUUGGUGGGGUAAUGGCCUACCAAGCCGACGAUCCAUAGCUGGUUUGAGAGGAUGAUCAGCCGCACUGGGACUGAGACACGGCCCAGACUCCUACGGGAGGCAGCAGUGGGGAAUCUUAGACAAUGGGGGCAACCCUGAUCUAGCCAUGCCGCGUGAGUGAUGAAGGCCUUAGGGUUGUAAAGCUCUUUCAGCUGGGAAGAUAAUGACGGUACCAGCAGAAGAAGCCCCGGCUAACUCCGUG
rnacentral:rRNA from 1 species